CGCGGUGCUCUGGCGGGCUUUGCCUCGUCCAUCCUCCGGUGUCGGGGUCCCUGGUCCUUGAUUGGGUCAGGUUACCUGGCGGCCUCAAAACCGCCUCUCGCCCGGUCUUUUACUUUGAGAAAUAGAGUGUUUAAAGCAGCUCGGUGCCGUUUGAUACAUUAGCAUGGAAUAAUGAUCUAGGACUUUGGUUCUAUUUUUGUUGGUUUCUAGGAUUGAAGUAAUGAUUGAUAGGGACGGUGGGGGUGCUAGUAUUCAGAGGCCAGCAGUGAAAUGCGAUGAUUCUCUGAGGACUAACUUAUGCGAAAGCAUUCACCAAGGACGUCUUCUUUAAUCAAGAACGAAAGUUGGGGGAUCGAAGACGAUCAGAUACCGUCGUAGUCUCAACUAUAAACUAUGCCAGCUCAGGAUCGGUGGUCGUCGUUCCGACUCCAUCGGCACUGUAUGAGAAAUCAAAGCUUUUGGGUUCCGGGGGGAGUAUGGUCGCAAGGCUGAAACUUAAAGGAAUUGACGGAAGGGCACCACCAGGAGUGGAGCCUGCGGCUUAAUUUGACUCAACACGGGGAAACUUACCAGGUCCAGACAUAGUUAGGAUUGACAGGUUGAAGACCUUUCUUGAUUUUAUGGGUGGUGGUGCAUGGCCGUUUUUAGUUGGUGGAGUGAUUUGUCUGGUUAAUUCCGUUAACGAACGAGACCUCGACCUGCUAACUAGUCGGGCUCGGUCCUCGCGACCGGGUUAAACUGCCGACUUCUUAGAGGGGCAAGUGG
rnacentral:rRNA from 1 species